rnacentral:rRNA from 1 species
AGAGUUUGAUCAUGGCUCAGAUUGAACGCUGGCGGCGGGCCUAACACAUGCAAGUCGAACGGUAACAGGAAGAAGCUUGCUUCUUUGCUGACGAGUGGCGGACGGGUGAGUAAUGUCUGGGAAACUGCCUGAUGGAGGGGGAUAACUACUGGAAACGGUAGCUAAUACCGCAUAACGUCGCAAGACCAAAGAGGGGGACCUUCGGGCCUCUUGCCAUCGGAUGUGCCCAGAUGGGAUUAGCUAGUAGGUGGGGUAACGGCUCACCUAGGCGACGAUCCCUAGCUGGUCUGAGAGGAUGACCAGCCACACUGGAACUGAGACACGGUCCAGACUCCUACGGGAGGCAGCAGUGGGGAAUAUUGCACAAUGGGCGCAAGCCUGAUGCAGCCAUGCCGCGUGUAUGAAGAAGGCCUUCGGGUUGUAAAGUACUUUCAGCGGGGAGGAAGGGAGUAAAGUUAAUACCUUUGCUCAUUGACGUUACCCGCAGAAGAAGCACCGGCUAACUCCGUGCCAGCAGCCGCGGUAAUACGGAGGGUGCAGGCGUUAAUCGGAAUUACUGGGCGUAAAGCGCACGCAGGCGGUUUGUUAAGUCAGAUGUGAAAUCCCCGGGCUCAACCUGGGAACUGCAUCUGAUACUGGCAAGCUUGAGUCUCGUAGAGGGGGGUAGAAUUCCAGGUGUAGCGGUGAAAUGCGUAGAGAUCUGGAGGAAUACCGGUGGCGAAGGCGGCCCCCUGGACGAAGACUGACGCUCAGGUGCGAAAGCGUGGGGAGCAAACAGGAUUAGAUACCCUGGUAGUCCACGCCGUAAACGAUGUCGACUUGGAGGUUGUGCCCUUGAGGCGUGGCUUCCGGAGCUAACGCGUUAAGUCGACCGCCUGGGGAGUACGGCCGCAAGGUUAAAACUCAAAUGAAUUGACGGGGGCCCGCACAAGCGGUGGAGCAUGUGGUUUAAUUCGAUGCAACGCGAAGAACCUUACCUGGUCUUGACAUCCACAGAACUUUCCAGAGAUGGAUUGGUGCCUUCGGGAACUGUGAGACAGGUGCUGCAUGGCUGUCGUCAGCUCGUGUUGUGAAAUGUUGGGUUAAGUCCCGCAACGAGCGCAACCCUUAUCUUUUGUUGCCAGCGGUCCGGCCGGGAACUCAAAGGAGACUGCCAGUGAUAAACUGGAGGAAGGUGGGGAUGACGUCAAGUCAUCAUGGCCCUUACGACCAGGGCUACACACGUGCUACAAUGGCGCAUACAAAGAGAAGCGACCUCGCGAGAGCAAGCGGACCUCAUAAAGUGCGUCGUAGUCCGGAUUGGAGUCUGCAACUCGACUCCAUGAAGUCGGAAUCGCUAGUAAUCGUGGAUCAGAAUGCCACGGUGAAUACGUUCCCGGGCCUUGUACACACCGCCCGUCACACCAUGGGAGUGGGUUGCAAAAGAAGUAGGUAGCUUAACCUUCGGGAGGGCGCUUACCACUUUGUGAUUCAUGACUGGGGUGAAGUCGAAACAAGGUAACCGUAGGGGAACCUGCGGUUG